GGACAUGAGGGAAAACUGGCUGUGACAUCUGUCAACACAUUGAUUUCCAGGGUUGAUACAGAUGGUUUGAGGUGAUCUCUGGUCUCCCUCACCACCACAUUUGUGUCACUUCCAAAACUACUUGCUUGUUCAAAGUGAAUGACCUUCUGAAAGUGGACCAUUCAAGAAGGGUAUUUUAAAAACGAUUUCCCCUUGCUAUAAUUUCUAGACAUGCUCAAAAUGUAUUCAAAUAUAUCUAAAUCUGUAGAACAGAUAU
rnacentral:snRNA from 1 species